GGGCUCGUGGUCUAUCGGUAUGACGCAACCUUCACACGGUUGAGGUAGCAGGUUCAAUUCCUGCCGGGCCCAC
rnacentral:tRNA from 1 species